rnacentral:tRNA from 1 species
AGGAGCUUAGGAUAGUACAAGUCCAAAGGCCUUCAAAGCCCUAAGCGAGGGUGAAAAUCCCCCAGCCCCUG